rnacentral:misc_RNA from 1 species
GUUGUUGCAAAAUCUGUAUGAGUACAUUAAAUAUAGCUUUUAGUCUAUAAUCUAUAAUCAUAAAAUUAAGAAAUAAUACCUGAAAAUUUAAUUAAAUAAGAUCACAAAAAAAUUUUGAAGCCCUAAAAUAAUUUAAUCCACACGGAAAAAAGAACUGGACUAGCCAAAAAAUUGAGCUCAGUGUGUUUUACAAUAGCAAGAAAGGUUGCAUUUUAUACAGAAAGGGUGUAUUUUAUGCAGAAAGCAACAAGGAAGAGCUUCUCGCGUUUUAAAGUGAGCAGCCAAAAAUAGGGAGCCUGUUAAGUUUAUGACUUUUUAACAUUUUAUUAAAUUGGGAAAAAAAAAGAAAAAAGAAAA